CAGCAGCCGCGGUAAUACCGGCGGCCCGAGUGGCGGUCACUAUUAUUGGGCUUAAAGCGUCCGUAGCCGGGUUGGGAAGUCCUCCGGGAAAUCUGGCCGCUUAACGGUCAGAAUGCCGGAGGAUACUCCCAGCCUAGGGAGCGGGAGAGGCCGAGGGGAUUCCCGGAGUAGGGGGGAAAUCCUAUAAUCCCGGGAGGGCCACCUGUGGCGAAGGCGCUCGGCUGGAACGCGUCCGACGAUGAGGGACGAAGGCCAGGGGAGCAAACCGGAUUAGAUACCCGGGUAGUCCUGGCUGUAAACGAUGCGGACUUUGUGUCGGACAAGCUAUGAGCUUGUCCGGUGCCGGAGGGAAACCGUUAAGUCCGCCGCCUGGGGAGUACGGCCGCAAGGCUGAAACUUAAAGGAAUUGGCGGG
rnacentral:rRNA from 1 species